GCUCACUUAUCUAGCAGCCCUAAGAGUACAAAUGAGCGUAUAAAAUACCACUUUUUUUUCAGCCCUUUGGUUGUUAUUAAGUGUUUCAGGCUGUCCCUUUACAUGAAAGUCAAACCAACGUGACAGCCUAUUUGCAUCUGUGUUUUUAUCGUACAGCUGGCAGGAAGAGCUGUAGCCUGGGAGGAAAUCCUUCUGAAGGCUUACAGAAAUCGCUCUGGGGGGAAAAAAUCGCUAUUGUCAGAAUCUGCCAGUCUCCCUGGUACCUGUGACUUGGCGACCUACAUAUACAAAUCUACAUGUACACAUUACAAAAUAAAGUGAGUAAUUGAUUUCCUCUCAUAUUAUUUAUACAGUAAAAUUCUAUGUUUAUAUGUUUCAGUUCCUUAAUGUAAGAAUGUAUUAAAUGUGGUCAUACCACAUGUGCCGUAAUACAAUUUGUAGAAUUUAUUAUAUUGUGCCAAAUGUGAUAUAUCUAGUAGUGAUACAAUUAAAGUCCAUAUACAGAUUUCACUCAUUAAUACAGACCUUCUUGAUGGACAGAAAGGACCAACACACUGAAUUUGUUAAACUGGAAAGGUUAUAAUGUAAAAUAGAUUUUCCUCCGAAUAUUGAUACAGGGUGGUGAAUAGUUAUGCGAAAAUGCGAACUGCUGUGUCACAAAAGAUAUUGUCACCUUAAAAUGAUAAAUCUUAGACAAUAUUGAGUAAAUCAAAUGCUAAAAUCUCAGUUAAGUCCAUCUCAAUUCCAAUUUGUAACACGUAGAACAAAAGGUGGAAAAGGUUCAAGGGCAAAGGGGGUGAAUAUUUAUGCAAGGCACUGUAUAUUCCCUCCUUAUAAUCUUGGAUAGCCGUAUUACUGUCAGCAUCAGCAUCUAUUCAUAUGACUGGGUGUACAGUGUUCUUGUGAUGAGGAGUAUCAUAUUUCGAGACAAAACCUUAAAGCUAAUGAAAGAAAUAUAGUAUACAGUCACAAGAAGGCUCCUAUGGAGCGAAAUAAGGGGAGAGAAAGAGAUUUAACCAGAACAGAGAGGGGGAAAGAGAGCUUUUGUAAGGGUGUGAUGAGACUCUGCAGGGUGCCCAGCCAGAUAGUCUGCUUGUAGGCAUCAGGAUCCAGAUGCUCGCCCAGCUGUUCUUCUUUCCAGACGAAUAUCCCCCUCUGAAUUAAAGCCAGAGGGUUAUGCCUUAUCCCAGUGCUAGCAGACUUUGAUCCUGUGAGGUAAGCAGCAUCAUCCCAUCAUGCAUGUUUUGGUGUACAGAGCAUGUGAUAAAUCUCCCUUUUCCAUAAAUAUCUGUCAGACUGCAUUGCUGGAGUGUAAGAGGAUCCUGUUAAGCAUAAAAUGAUGAUGAAUACUGGAAGGCUGGGAGCUCCAGCUGAGUGAUUUCUGAUUUUUCCCUUAUUUUUGGCCUGUGGUGAUGUGAAUACAUUAUGAUUAGAUGAUGAGCAGAGGUUCUAGACAAGCGGGUUUUGGUUCUGUAUGGCUUUUGUGGCCUGAAGAAUGCUACUUAAGGUUUACUUCAACAAAAUGAACAGAGAAAAUAAGAAAACACACUUGACUAAGAGAGCACGCACAUGCGUGUGUGUACUUUCUUAGAGCAUGUCUUGGAUAUGGACAUGGUUCAACAUGGAAAAAGUUCUCCAUUCUCAGUGGGAGAUGAGAAAGCUGAGCAGGAUCAUUACUGAAGCAUUGUGUUUCUGUGUGUUUUGAGAGAAUGCUGAAAUAACAUUUGGACAGCUGCUCUACUUUCAUCAGAAGUCUUCCACUUGCUCCCUCCAGCACUGCAAUGCUGGUUGCAUCAAUGCCCCCUGGAGGCCAGCUGGAAAAGGGGCAGUUUAGAGGGUGAACCAGGAAGCUGCAGCCAUGGUGACCAAAUUACAUUCUUCUUCUUUCUGUGGUGGUGUUCAUGGAGACCUUCUGGACGCACCAAACAUCAAAGGGAAGAAGCUGUGGAUCUUUACGGGCUCUGUGACUGAACACUUGACCCACAAAUGCCCUGCUUAUGGAUAACCAGGACAGGAAAUUAAUUCAAGAUUACAGCAUUGCAAAAAAGGGUUCUGUGUACAAACUAUUCAGAGGACAGGUGGUGGAUGGAUGGGGGUGGAUGGAGGGGUAGUCCUACACAUUCUUACACAAGGCUUGAGUGGACCUUGGAGUGUCAGAUUAAAGAUCACUGAGUAUUUUUUUUUUUUUUUUUUUUUUUUUUUUUUGGAGUUAAGUUUAAGAAAUGGGCAAAAUGUUUCACCUGUUUAUCAUAACAUUUUGGGCCCACAGUUUUAAUAAACAUCAGUGAAUUAAAUGUAAGGGCAGUGGUGACUCAGUGGUUAAAGGCUCUGGCUUACUGAUCAGAAGCCCUAGCACUGCCAAGCUUCCACUGUUGGGUCCUUGAGCAAGGCCCUUAUCCCUCAAUUGCUCAGUUCUAUAAAUGAGAUAAAUGUAAGUUGCUCUGGAUAAGGGCAUCUGCCAAAUGCCAUUGUAAGUAUUACUGUGGUACUACCACAAAUACAGUAUUUAUUUUCAUAAAUAACACACCAAACUUAUGUGGAAGUGUGAAUUAGAGAUAAAACACACAGUUCUGGUAUCUAGCAGAAUUUCAAGGCCUCAUGUUCCUGAAGAGGUUAAGCCAUUUAUAGCAGAACUUUUCGGUUCAGUAGUUAAAGUCCUGAAGGCUGUUUACUGGAGCAGAAGAACAAGCACGAGCAUAUGAUAAGGGAGGCAGAGUGGACUGGACUGUAUCACUGUAAGCCUGAUCCUCACAACAAUACAUUUGGAUCAUCCUCUCACUCCACCUAUCAGAAUAUUAGAGCAGUCGGAUCAGACUUUACAGGGGUAGUUACUCUUGCUUUUUUCUGUACUUAUGCUUCUCAUUUGAAGGCUUAUGUUCCUUAUAUGUAUCUUUAUCCACAAAAGUGACUCAUAUGAUCUGACUAAAGAGAGUUCGCUGGUUAGAGCUAAACAGUUACACGGCCUGAUAGCCCCUUCGCCAGUGGAACAGUCACACCACCUGGCUUAUCCCAUUUCAGGGCCAACUGUGAAAGUAAUCAUAUGGAACGUAUGUGAUUCUCCAUGAGCAUUAUAGAUGGUUUACAGAUCAAAUUCAGUCUCCUACUCCAGGCCUCAUAACCCCCAUACGGGAGGUUUGAAAUGAGUUUGAAAAUGACUAUUUAUCCUAUAUUAAAACAAUUUCUACCAGGACUGACAUUAAUACCAUACUUGCUUUACACAUUUAUUCUUAAUUUGUGCAUGUUAGGUCAUUUUAUUAGAGCUUUUAUUAUGUUGCCUGAAUGAUAUCUUAAUGAUGCUGUCUGUGGUAUGAAUAGUCAUUAAAUAUGCAGUGCUGUAUUCCUGAUUUCUUUUAUUUUUGCAUAUUUGUCAGUCUUA